rnacentral:sRNA from 1 species
UCCAUUUAGCCGAAGGGACUGCGAGUCUG